AAUCUUGAUCUUUACUCUUCCUUCUCUUAUAAGUUUCUUGUACCAAGUUGUUAACACCCAUAAGUUUCACUGCUAAAGAGACACCACUAUUGCCGUAAUCACUUUACCUUUUCCCUGCUCCAGGCCAUUGUUGCCAUCUUUCUUCUUACCGUCGACCAAGCUCAUGCACCGCGGCCACGCACUCUUCUUCUUCCUCCAUUCGUGUCAUGUUUGGUGACACCGAGAAUAGUCUUUGAGACUACUCUGUACACAUGAAACCAAAGUGAACUUAUUUUAUUUGCUCUUAUUUUGAUUAUAAGUUUAUCCUUUAUUUGAGAUACAAACUCUUUACUUUCUUUAAAAACGAUUAUUUAGAUAUUUUGAUGAGAAGAAAAUGAUGCUAAAAUAUAGUAGUAGCUUGCUACCUAAGUUCUAUGUUUGUUCUUAUUUUACUCUUAAAAGUGUAGUGUUCGUUUAAAUUCUAAUAUUAUUUUGCACAAGGAAUUGAUGAUUAGGUACUUCGUACAUUUAACUUCCGAAAAAUGAGUUUUGAUACUAGAGCAAUUAGAGAGUUCUAUAAAUUAAAGUUUUUAUAGUAAUAUUUUCUACUAAAAUGAAUAGUGGUAGUAUUUAUUUUUAAAGUAAUGCUCAUUUUACUCAAAAUGAGGUAAUACUUGUUUUGUUUCUAAAAAUAAGUUUAUACUUGUUUUAUCAAAGGUUUUGAAUUAAGAUGUUACUAAUGAACAUUUAUUAUUAUUGGGUAUGAUCGAAUGAGUUAUGGUAAUGAGGAAUUAAUGAUGGAGGUUGAGAGUUCGAAUGAUGAUUAUUGGAGAAUAAACUAAGUGAGAUGAUUAAGGAUGAUCUAAUCAGGGAUAAUGAUGAUGGAGCUGAAGUUAAUCAAAGGUAAAAGGAUUAAAGGAAUUUACUUAGAGGGAUUUUGGAAUCAAGGCUUAUGUAUUAUGGAUCAUCGAGAGUUGAGAUGGAUUGAUUAUUUUAUUACAGUAAUGAAGACUGGAGUUGUAUUAUUUAUUGAUUAUUCUCAUUAAGGAGUAUGUUUAUUUAUGGGCCCAUAACCCACAGGUGUUCACGAGAUUAUCUAUAUGAUUGAUUCCGUUGCAUA